CGAGGAGCGAGCCGCUUCUCCCCAUCACAGCGAUUCCCAGGGUUGUCAUAGAAACCACUCCCUGGGGCUUGGCAAAGCAGGAGCCCUCCGUGGCAGGGCUUCGGUGUCGGGGCUCCGAGGCUCCGGCCUGACUUCUCCACGGGGUCCACAGGAGCGUCUCCGGAUGCCAGGACCUGAAAUGGGCCGACCAGGAUGAGGAAACCACAGGCAGAGGCCGGGGAAGCAGCGCGGCAUCCCAUCCUCAGGCCUGCCCGGACGGUGUUCGGAGGACCACACUCCAGCCCAGGACAAAAGCCCCACGGUAGCACAUUGUCCGGCAGGAGAGGAGCAGACCCACGUCCAAGAAGAUGGUUGUACCUUUCCACGCCUCUUCUCUGCGAAAUGAAGCCACACCAUGACACAAUCUUGAAGAGGAAGCCGGGAAUGGGAGACGGCAACAAUCCCUGUCCCUGGAACGCUGGCCUCUAUGGACAAGCCACCCGCUUCGCACCCCUCCCCUUAUGCCCGUGGCGGUGGCACGGCGCCGUAUCCUGCCUGGGCUCUGGCCUCUGCUCUGUCCUCCCUCUUCCACUGUCUCCCCUGUUUCUCAGCGGCCUAGAUGCCUCUUGGUCUGGCUGAAUAUCUUCUAUGAAGAUCACUUCCCCGUCCAUCAGGGAGACAAUUCCUGGAGAUUCGUGUCAUGACUGUUUCUCUCUCCAAACCUGUUUCUGCUGGAUUGCGC
rnacentral:lncRNA from 10 species